AUCUGCUGGACUCCUGGUUCGGAACCACUGUUACAGUAACGUUGACAUCACCUGUCCGCCACUGCUGAAGCUGUAUGUUAUCGGCCAAUAGCGUGACGGAAGGUGGGACUUAAGGGGUGGAGCUAGUGUAUAUAAGGGGAGUGAAUGGUGUGAGUGCUUUAGAUAGGGAUUUGAGAUAGGGGCGAGAUAGGGACGUGAUAGGGAGAUAGGGCUGGUUAGGGACCAGAUAGGGUUAUGCUAGGGAGAUAGGGUUUGAAGAUAUUGUGAAGUAAGAACUAUGCUAACUAGUGAGGGUCUGUGAGAGAGUGUGUGAGAGAGUUACUUUAUUACAGUGAUUGCCUUAUUAUUUUUAUUCAAGUCAUUUACCAUUCCUUUUGUUGUACACAAUAAACACAAGUUCUUUUAUUUUAAAAUCAUACAUUGGCCUGAAGUAUUAUUUGAGGGAAUGGUUGGUGGCAGCGUGAAUUAAGAGUGAGUGAGUGUGACGUAAUAGCCCCUUUGUGACGCAUGAGGAGGCCGUUACAACCACUACCAAAAGAAGACAGCUGGCUGCUGUGAGACCAGACUGGCAGGCAAGAGAGACUUCUGGUCUGAUCCAGUCAAGGUUGUUCUUAGAAGGAUGUCCCAUAAUAAUGGAAAGAUAUAGUUCACGGGGACAGAAGCAUCCUCCUUCAAAGGCAAGCUAGGGUCAGUCUCACAGCAAGUGAUGGUUAAGUGACUCUUGCCUUAAAGGCUGCCUUACUGCUAGCCAGGUGGUGGUUAGGUGACUCUUGCCUUAAAGGCUGCCUUACUGUUUACAGUAUUUGCUACAGAUGUUAACAAGCACAUUUGCCCAGGUGUAGCCGCGUUACUAGAAAGAGAAGGCCUUCCCUACGGUGGCACUCGGAUUCUGAGACAACCUUCGGAAGCAGUUUAUAUUAAUAGAAAGAAGAUUGACCACACAAUGAGAAACUAUCAGCUGGAAAACGAUCAAUCAUACAACUUCAGGAUCCAGUCUGGAGAAUAUGAUCACAGAAAAGUGGAUUCACGUGAACAAUGUUAAUGAAUCACCUUCGUAAUGGCUUCACACAAUAGAUAUACAGGGACAGUAAUUGCAGGGUGACUUUACUGAGGAAACAACAAUGGUGGCCAGCAAACAA
rnacentral:lncRNA from 1 species